GGAGAGGUGCCGGAGUGGCCGAUCGGGCCGGUUUCGAAAACCGGUGUACGGGCAACCGUACCGCGGGUUCGAAUCCCGCCCUCUCCG
rnacentral:tRNA from 1 species